GCAAGUCGAACGGUAACAGGUUAAGCUGACGAGUGGCGAACGGGUGAGUAAUGUAUCGGAACGUGCCCAGUCGUGGGGGAUAACUGCUCGAAAGAGCAGCUAAUACCGCAUACGACCUGAGGGUGAAAGCGGGGGAUCGCAAGACCUCGCGCGAUUGGAGCGGCCGAUAUCAGAUUAGGUAGUUGGUGGGGUAAAGGCUCACCAAGCCAACGAUCUGUAGCUGGUCUGAGAGGACGACCAGCCACACUGGGACUGAGACACGGCCCAGACUCCUACGGGAGGCAGCAGUGGGGAAUUUUGGACAAUGGGCGCAAGCCUGAUCCAGCCAUGCCGCGUGCGGGAAGAAGGCCUUCGGGUUGUAAACCGCUUUUGUCAGGGAAGAAAAGGUUCUGGCUAAUACCUGGGACUCAUGACGGCACCUGAAGAAUAAGCACCGGCUAACUACGUGCCAGCAGCCGCGGUAAUACGUAGGGUGCAAGCGUUAAUCGGAAUUACUGGGCGUAAAGCGUGCGCAGGCGGUUAUGCAAGACAGAGGUGAAAUCCCCGGGCUCAACCUGGGAACUGCCUUUGUGACUGCAUAGCUAGAGUGCGGCAGAGGGGGAUGGAAUUCCGCGUGUAGCAGUGAAAUGCGUAGAUAUGCGGAGGAACACCGAUGGCGAAGGCAAUCCCCUGGGGCUGCACUGACGCUCAUGCA
rnacentral:rRNA from 1 species